UGUCUGAAAGCUCUACCAGGUUCUUCAGGAGAUGCCCUGUCACCACUUCAGGCCAACAAAAUCCCUAACUGAAAUUCUGUGGAAAUGUCCAUAAGUUUGAAGCAGAACUGGGGAGUGAGGACUUUUCAGAAUCACUGAUCCUUUCAACUGGCCUCCCUGGUGUGAUUGGAGGUGGAUCCAACCGGAACUCUAUCAACAAAACAUUGACUUAGAUUCCAUUUACCACUCCCUGAGAAAAGUAACAGGAAAUGAUUUCACCACAGAAAAUGACAUAACCGACCAAAGGAAACCCAAAUACAUAAAUAGAAAAUGGGCUAUACCACCAGUGCUUCAUCCGGAGGCUCACUGAAGAUGUUACCUAGUAUGGUGACUAAACGUCUGAAAACGAGCCUUCCAGCUCAGUGAGCAAGCUGACAUCCAAAAUCUAUCAAUCUCUACCUUGAACAUACCCAAUAAUUGAGUCUCCACAGUCCUCAAGUAUAGAGAAUUAUGAAGAGUCACCACAUUCUGCGUGAAGAAAUUCCUCCUUAUCUCAGUCUUAUCCAAUCUAUCUCUUAUUCUGGGGCUUUCCCUCCUGAUUAUAGUCUUGUCCAUCAGUGGAAACAUUCUACCCAAACUAUCGUGUCAACUCUUAUAAGAAGUCUGUAUGCUUGAUUGAGGUCACCUCUAUUCUUCUAAAUUCCAGAAAAUAAAUGCUAGUUUAUUCAA